rnacentral:rRNA from 2 species
GGUUAAGCGACUAAGCGUACACGGUGGAUGCCCUGGCAGUCAGAGGCGAUGAAGGACGUGCUAAUCUGCGAUAAGCGUCGGUAAGGUGAUAUGAACCGUUAUAACCGGCGAUUUCCGAAUGGGGAAACCCAGUGUGUUUCGACACACUAUCAUUAACUGAAUCCAUAGGUUAAUGAGGCGAACCGGGGGAACUGAAACAUCUAAGUACCCCGAGGAAAAGAAAUCAACCGAGAUUCCCCCAGUAGCGGCGAGCGAACGGGGAGCAGCCCAGAGCCUGAAUCAGUGUGUGUGUUAGUGGAAGCGUCUGGAAAGGCGCGCGAUACAGGGUGACAGCCCCGUACACAAAAAUGCACAUGCUGUGAGCUCGAUGAGUAGGGCGGGACACGUGGUAUCCUGUCUGAAUAUGGGGGGACCAUCCUCCAAGGCUAAAUACUCCUGACUGACCGAUAGUGAACCAGUACCGUGAGGGAAAGGCGAAAAGAACCCCGGCGAGGGGAGUGAAAAAGAACCUGAAACCGUGUACGUACAAGCAGUGGGAGCACGCUUAGGCGUGUGACUGCGUACCUUUUGUAUAAUGGGUCAGCGACUUAUAUUCUGUAGCAAGGUUAACCGAAUAGGGGAGCCGAAGGGAAACCGAGUCUUAACUGGGCGUUAAGUUGCAGGGUAUAGACCCGAAACCCGGUGAUCUAGCCAUGGGCAGGUUGAAGGUUGGGUAACACUAACUGGAGGACCGAACCGACUAAUGUCGAAAAAUUAGCGGAUGACUUGUGGCUGGGGGUGAAAGGCCAAUCAAACCGGGAGAUAGCUGGUUCUCCCCGAAAGCUAUUUAGGUAGCGCCUCGUGAAUUCAUCUCCGGGGGUAGAGCACUGUUUCGGCAAGGGGGUCAUCCCGACUUACCAACCCGAUGCAAACUGCGAAUACCGGAGAAUGUUAUCACGGGAGACACACGGCGGGUGCUAACGUCCGUCGUGAAGAGGGAAACAACCCAGACCGCCAGCUAAGGUCCCAAAGUCAUGGUUAAGUGGGAAACGAUGUGGGAAGGCCCAGACAGCCAGGAUGUUGGCUUAGAAGCAGCCAUCAUUUAAAGAAAGCGUAAUAGCUCACUGGUCGAGUCGGCCUGCGCGGAAGAUGUAACGGGGCUAAACCAUGCACCGAAGCUGCGGCAGCGACGCUUAUGCGUUGUUGGGUAGGGGAGCGUUCUGUAAGCCUGCGAAGGUGUGCUGUGAGGCAUGCUGGAGGUAUCAGAAGUGCGAAUGCUGACAUAAGUAACGAUAAAGCGGGUGAAAAGCCCGCUCGCCGGAAGACCAAGGGUUCCUGUCCAACGUUAAUCGGGGCAGGGUGAGUCGACCCCUAAGGCGAGGCCGAAAGGCGUAGUCGAUGGGAAACAGGUUAAUAUUCCUGUACUUGGUGUUACUGCGAAGGGGGGACGGAGAAGGCUAUGUUGGCCGGGCGACGGUUGUCCCGGUUUAAGCGUGUAGGCUGGUUUUCCAGGCAAAUCCGGAAAAUCAAGGCUGAGGCGUGAUGACGAGGCACUACGGUGCUGAAGCAACAAAUGCCCUGCUUCCAGGAAAAGCCUCUAAGCAUCAGGUAACAUCAAAUCGUACCCCAAACCGACACAGGUGGUCAGGUAGAGAAUACCAAGGCGCUUGAGAGAACUCGGGUGAAGGAACUAGGCAAAAUGGUGCCGUAACUUCGGGAGAAGGCACGCUGAUAUGUAGGUGAGGUCCCUCGCGGAUGGAGCUGAAAUCAGUCGAAGAUACCAGCUGGCUGCAACUGUUUAUUAAAAACACAGCACUGUGCAAACACGAAAGUGGACGUAUACGGUGUGACGCCUGCCCGGUGCCGGAAGGUUAAUUGAUGGGGUUAGCGCAAGCGAAGCUCUUGAUCGAAGCCCCGGUAAACGGCGGCCGUAACUAUAACGGUCCUAAGGUAGCGAAAUUCCUUGUCGGGUAAGUUCCGACCUGCACGAAUGGCGUAAUGAUGGCCAGGCUGUCUCCACCCGAGACUCAGUGAAAUUGAACUCGCUGUGAAGAUGCAGUGUACCCGCGGCAAGACGGAAAGACCCCGUGAACCUUUACUAUAGCUUGACACUGAACAUUGAGCCUUGAUGUGUAGGAUAGGUGGGAGGCUUUGAAGUGUGGACGCCAGUCUGCAUGGAGCCGACCUUGAAAUACCACCCUUUAAUGUUUGAUGUUCUAACGUUGACCCGUAAUCCGGGUUGCGGACAGUGUCUGGUGGGUAGUUUGACUGGGGCGGUCUCCUCCUAAAGAGUAACGGAGGAGCACGAAGGUUGGCUAAUCCUGGUCGGACAUCAGGAGGUUAGUGCAAUGGCAUAAGCCAGCUUGACUGCGAGCGUGACGGCGCGAGCAGGUGCGAAAGCAGGUCAUAGUGAUCCGGUGGUUCUGAAUGGAAGGGCCAUCGCUCAACGGAUAAAAGGUACUCCGGGGAUAACAGGCUGAUACCGCCCAAGAGUUCAUAUCGACGGCGGUGUUUGGCACCUCGAUGUCGGCUCAUCACAUCCUGGGGCUGAAGUAGGUCCCAAGGGUAUGGCUGUUCGCCAUUUAAAGUGGUACGCGAGCUGGGUUUAGAACGUCGUGAGACAGUUCGGUCCCUAUCUGCCGUGGGCGCUGGAGAACUGAGGGGGGCUGCUCCUAGUACGAGAGGACCGGAGUGGACGCAUCACUGGUGUUCGGGUUGUCAUGCCAAUGGCACUGCCCGGUAGCUAAAUGCGGAAGAGAUAAGUGCUGAAAGCAUCUAAGCACGAAACUUGCCCCGAGAUGAGUUCUCCCUGACCCUUUAAGGGUCCUGAAGGAACGUUGAAGACGACGACGUUGAUAGGCCGGGUGUGUAAGCGCAGCGAUGCGUUGAGCUAACCGGUACUAAUGAACCGUGAGGCUUAACCU